rnacentral:rRNA from 1 species
CCUACGUGAGGCAGCAGUGAGGAAUAUUGGUCAAUGGGCGCGAGCCUGAACCAGCCAAGUAGCGUGAAGGAUGACUGCCCUACGGGUUGUAAACUUCUUUUAUAAAGGAAUAAAGUGAGGCACGUGUGCCUUUUUGUAUGUACUUUAUGAAUAAGGAUCGGCUAACUCCGUGCCAGCAGCCGCGGUAAUACGGAGGAUCCGAGCGUUAUCCGGAUUUAUUGGGUUUAAAGGGAGCGUAGAUGGGUUGUUAAGUCAGUUGUGAAAGUUUGCGGAUCAACCGUAAAAUUGCAAUUGAUACUGGCAGUCUUGAGUACAGUUGAGGUAGGCGGAAUUCGUGGUGUAGCGGUGAAAUGCUUAGAUAUCACGAAGAACUCCGAUGGCGAAGGCAGCUUACUAAACUGCCACUGACAUUGAUGCUCGAAAGUGUGGGUAUCAAACAGGAUUAGAUACCCUUGUAGUC